UACGUAGGCAGCGAGCGUUGUUCGGAAUUACUGGGCGUAAAGCGCACGUAGGCGGCUUUGUAAGUUAGAGGUGAAAGCCCGGGGCUCAACUCCGGAAUUGCCUUUAAGACUGCAUCGCUAGAAUUGUGGAGAGGUAAGUGGAAUUCCGAGUGUAGAGGUGAAAUUCGUAGAUAUUCGGAAGAACACCAGUGGCGAAGGCGACUUACUGGACACAUAUUGACGCUGAGGUGCGAAAGCGUGGGGAGCAAACAGG
rnacentral:rRNA from 1 species